CCACAACAGCAACUGCAACAACUGGCUUCUGCCCUCUGGGUACAGGCUCAGUGGACAUCCUCCCCAAACUGCUCUGCUGAAUCACUCCAGGAAGGGAGGGCAGCAAACCCUAGAACCACACCUCUUGAUAUACCAGGCCUAUCUGUGUGCUUCCAGACUCUUCUGAACAAAGAAAUGUGGGCUGAGAGAUGAGCCUUGGAUAUUAAAUGGUGAUGAGAUAAAAAGAGGCCACAGGGGAAAUUCACCUCUCCCUAGGUGUGUGUUUACACUUCAAAAUGAGAUGAAACCCAGAGCCAGUCAACCUCAACCCCAACCCCACCCCCAGAACUGGAAGAACUGGGACAAAGAGAAACCAAUGUGGCCAUUCUGCAGCAGCCACAGCAACAGUAAUGGGGAAAAGAUGGCCUCCAGGAGCAGUGGAUUCAUAGUGACAGCACCAAGCUCCAGCAAUAAACCUGGAGGCAAAACAAAAGCGCAUGGAGGAAGACUUCAUCAUUUCAUUUAUUCUUCUUUUUUUAAA